CAUGCAUUUGAGGCCUUGUUUGGUUGUAUAUAGAAAGUCAUACUUCCCAGGAAGUUAUUUUUUUCCAUGUAUUUGAAAUUCCUAAGAAGUGUAAAAUUGUGUUUGGUUGAUAAUGGGAGGUAAAACUUUCUAUGGAAAGUUCUACUUACCUACGGGGACCUAGGUAAGUAACUUUUUCCAUUUUGGAGGAAGAAAAACUUCCUAAAAAAUACAAAUUCUCAUGAUUUUGCCGAUCAAACAACUUCAUGUACUUCUAAUUCUUAGGAAUUUAUAUUUCCCAUGAUUUGUUUUAUCAACCAAACAAGCCUGAGUUUCUCGUUUAAUUAGUAUGAGGGUUCUAUACUUCUUCUAUCCCCUCACUCUUUCUCGAUUCUUCUUCUCGUCUUUCUCUUCAACUCUUUUUCAUCUCUCUCUUCUUUCAUUUAUGUCGAUUCUUCAACAUUCAGACCUACAAAUUCUCACAUUCAUCUCUUAGGCUUAGGUCAUACCGAAUGAGCGCAAAAAUGGAGCCACGGCUUGUUGAGAGGUUGGAGAAGGCUGUGUUUCACGUUUAGAGGCGCUUUCUUCUUCUUCUCGCCGUCGAACUUUCCGCCGAUCGAUCUCAUCGCGAUGGUAUGCAUUUUCCCCUUUGCGUGAUCUCCUCGUCAAAGCUAAAUUAACUCAGAGGAUUCUACAAGCUUAGAUACCAACGUCAAAUUGCCUAUCCCAAGAACUUUUCAUAAGCACAUAUGAUAGUGACUGGCAUUUUUCUUGUGAGUAAACUGAAUUCACUUUGAUUCUCUUCUGUUGUUCAAAUUUUUCUUUUGUUAUAAAUGAUAACCUAGCUAAUAGUAUUUAAUACUGUUUGCUUAACAUUGAAUGAUUGAAUGUUGGGUGCAAAAUCUAUUUACUUGAACAGUAGCAUUUGUCCUUUCCUAUUUGAUAAAAAACCGUUCAACAAUAAUGAUAUUUAUUUAAUCUGUAUGUUACUAAGAGGCAUAUCAUUUGUGUUGAUGUAAAGUCCAUGUUUGGGUCUUGCUCAGGUGAGAUAACACUUGGUUAUAUUUUAGUUAUUUUUGAUGUUUCAAGCACCAUGGUUAAGCACCAUUACUCUUGUUUUAUCUGCUUACUCUUCUCAUAUACUUCCUCCGUUUCUUUUUAAGUGACACAUUUGCAUAGUGUUUACUAUUCACAGUUUAAACUUUAAUUAGCUUUGGUGAUUUACAUUUUAGGAAAAACAUAGUCAUGUGGGAUCUUGUUAGAUUCGUCUAAAUGUGAAUUUUUUUAAUAUCAACUUUUUAUAAUUUUUACUUAUUAAUAAUUGAAGAUAUUAAUGGUUAAAAUAAUGUAUUGGCAAACGUGAAAACAAGAAAUGUGUCACUUAAAAAGAAACGGAGGAAGUAUGUUUUUACAUACCAAUGUAUGUUCAUUGCAUUGGGAUCUCAAAUAGCAGUGACUCCUUUUUUUAAUAGUAUUGACCGGAAAAAUAUUAGAGACUAUGCUAUUGCACCUGCUAGGAGUGAUUCAUUAAAUGUUGCUAUAGAUAUGCGCAUGUCAUCAACUCUAUUGUAUCUCAGGUGAGUUGCUAAUGUUAUACUAAUUAAUUUAUCAUUGAAAAUUCUGUUAUUGAAUGGACAACUAUUUACCCGUAUCCAUAUAUUUUAAAUACAUAGAUUUAGCUUAAUUAGCUACCAAUGAGAGAACUGUCAAAAAAAAAAAAAGCUACCAAUGAGUGAGCUUGCCUAAUGUAUGGAACUAAAUCCGUAAAGAGAAAUUCAAGAAUGUCUAAUGUGGCUUUUAGGAAACCAAUUUUAUGAUGAUGGUGAUUAGGUUGCUUAUCGCACGAGUUGAGACCGAGCUCCCCCGUGCUCACCUCGUGGGCUUGUCUUGAAAUUUCAUAGCGCGGCUCCUGGGCUCGUCAAGCCUAAAAUUCCAGAGCUUGGCUCGUGUCAAUUGGUUAUGCUUAUCAAGUCUAAAGAAUUCAUACAUUAUAGAAGCUUUACUUUUUUAAAUUAAUCACAUAGGCUUUUGGUGAGACCCUUUUUUCAAGGCCAAAAUGUUGGAUUUCACAUAGAAGAUCCAAGUUCAAUAAUGUGUUUUGUAAGACAAUCUUGCUUUCCUUUUUAUGUUUUGUUGUUGUGGAUAAGGAUGGAGUGGGUGAUAGACACACUCUAAAUGGAAAAUAUUUUAGCAUUAUUUUGUUUGUUCAAAUAUUAGUCGGAAUCAACUCAUCAAAAUGUUUCUUUAACUUCUUCUCAUGGCGAAAUGUAAUUAACAUGACAUAAUUCUGUUUUA